rnacentral:rRNA from 1 species
AAUGAACGUUGGCGGCGUGGAUUAGGCAUGCAAGUCGAAUGAAUCCCGGGUAGCAAUAUCCGGGGGAAAUGGCGAAAGGGGCAGUAAUGUAUGGGUAACGUACCCGGGGGUCGUGGAUAGCCUUCCUAACGGAUGGGUAAUACACGGCGAUUCGGCGAGGGGACAUCCUCUUGCCGGGAAAGAAUUUCGCCUCCGGAGCGGCUCAUAUCGUAUUAGCUAGUUGGUGAGGUAACGGCUCACCAAGGCGAAGAUGCGUAGCGGGUGUGAGAGCACGACCCGCGCCACUGGCACUGAGACACUGGCCAGACACCUACGGGUGGCUGCAGUCGAGGAUCUUCGGCAAUGGGCGAAAGCCUGACCGAGCGACGCCGCGUGGAUGAUGAAGGCCUGGUU